CUGGCCCUGGCGGCUGUGGCCGGACUGCUGCAGACAUCCGAGGACCGUCGCACGGGAGGGGGUGGCGGCAGGCUGGACUUAGGGAGCUGAUGGACCUCGGGCGCUCCGGGGCCCUGGUUACCCAGGGCUGGCUUCUUGUCCUUCAACAGAGCAACCACAGCGUGACAUUUCCAUUGAAAGGAGAAAGCUUUGGAAAAAUUCAAAAGGACUUCUGCAAUUCUGUCCGAAUAGGGCAACAUCACUGGUCUUUGCAUAGUGGGACUUAAGUUUCAGCAUCACUCUGGGAAAACAGAACUCUUGAGGAGCUGACUCCCAUUUCAACAGCUGGCACUUAUUUAGGAAUAGCAGACCACCCUGUGCUUCCAAUCAACUGAGAAGAGGAACUUUUCUAAUGACAACCAGACUGAGAAACUAAGCUGCUUUUUAAAUAAAGUUGCUUUUAUUAGCAUA